UACGGGGGGGGUAAGCGUUGUUCGGAAUUACUGGGCGUAAAGGGCUCGUAGGCGGCCAACUAAGUCAGACGUGAAAUCCCUCAGCUUAACUGGGGAACUGCGUCUGAUACUGGAUGGCUUGGAUUCGGGAGAGGAAUGCGGAAUUCCAGGUGUAGCGGUGAAAUGCGUAGAUAUCUGGAGGAACACCGGUGGCGAAGGCAGCUUGCUGGGACGGUACUGACGCUGAGACGCGAAAGCGUGGGGAGCAAACAGG
rnacentral:rRNA from 1 species